AGAGUUUGAUCCUGGCUCAGGAUGAACGCUGGCGGCGUGCUUAACACAUGCAAGUCGAACGUGAGGGGGUACUUGUAUCCCUGAAAGUGGCGGACGGGUGCGUAACACGUAGGAACCUGCCCUGGAGCGGGGGAUAACCAUGGGAAACUGUGGCUAAUACCGCAUGAGUUCAAUGUGACGGGAGUGCAUUGAGCAAAAUUACGGUGCUCUGGGAGGGGCCUGCGGCCGAUUAGCUAGUUGGUGGGGUAAAGGCCUACCAAGGCGAUGAUCGGUAGCUGUUCUGAGAGGAAGACCAGCCACACGGGAACUGAGAAACGGUCCCGACUCCUACGGGGGGCAGCAGUGAGGAAUAUUGCACAAUGGGGGAAACCCUGAUGCAGCAGCGCCGCGUGAAGGAUGAAGGCUUUCGAGUUGUAAACUUCUUUUCUGGGGGAAGAGGAAGGACGGUACCCUAGGAAUAAGACACGGCUAACUACGUGCCAGCAGCCGCGGUAAUACGUAGGUGUCGAGCGUUAUCCGGAAUUACUGGGCGUAAAGGGCACGCAGGCGGCUGUUCAAGUUCGACGUGAAAUCUCCUGGCUUAACCGGGAGAAGCCGUUGGAAACUGAAUGGCUUGAGGCAAUGAGAGGGAUGCGGAAUUCCCGGUGUAGUGGUGGAAUGCGUAGAUAUCGGGAAGAACACCAGUGGCGAAAGCGGCAUCCUGGCAUUGGCCUGACGCUCAUGUGCGAAAGCGUGGGUAGCGAACGGGAUUAGAUACCCCGGUAGUCCACGCUGUAAACGAUGUGAACUAGGUGUAGGUGGUAUUGACCCCAUCUGUGCCAAAGCCAACGCGAUAAGUUCACCGCCUGGGGAGUACGGCCGCAAGGCUAAAACUCAAAGGAAUUGACGGGGGCCCGCACAAGCAGCGGAGCGUGUGGUUUAAUUCGAUGCGACGCGAAGAACCUUACCUGGGCUUGACAUGUACCUAGUAGUGAACCGAAAGGGGAACGAGCCUUCGGGCAGGGUACACAGGUGCUGCAUGGCUGUCGUCAGCUCGUGUCGUGAGAUGUUGGGUUAAGUCCCGCAACGAGCGCAACCCACGUCGCUAGUUACAAGUGUCUAGCGAGACCGCCGGUAUCAAAUCGGAGGAAGGUGUGGAUGACGUCAAGUCAGCAUGGCCUUUAUGUCCAGGGCUACACACACGCUACAAUGGCCGGUACAAAGGGCAGCGAAAGGGCGACCUGGAGCGAAUCUCAUCAAAGCCGGUCGUAGUUCGGAUUGUAGGCUGCAACUCGCCUGCAUGAAGUCGGAGUUGCUAGUAAACGCAGGUCAGCUACACUGCGUUGAAUACGUUCCCGGGCCUUGUACACACCGCCCGUCACGUCAUGGGAGUUGAUAACACCUGAAGUCGGUGACCCAACCGAAAGGAGGGAGCUGCCUAGGGUGGGAUCGAUGACUGGGACGAAGUCGUAACAAGGUAGCCGUACCGGAAGGUGCGGUUGGAUCACCUCCUU
rnacentral:rRNA from 1 species